GUGCCCGCCUCAGCAGCACAUACACUAAAAUUAGCACGAUAUAGAAAAGGUGAGUGUGGCUCCUGCACAAGGGUGACAUGCAGAUGUGUGGACAUUCCUCCUUAAAA
ensembl:snRNA U6 U6 spliceosomal RNA